rnacentral:rRNA from 1 species
UACAGAGGGGGCAAGCGUUGUUCGGAAUUACUGGGCGUAAAGGGCGCGUAGGCGGCGACUCAAGUUAGAUGUGAAAGUCCUGGGCUUAACCUGGGGACUGCAUUUGAUACUGGGUUGCUUGAAUUCGGGAGAGGAUAGCGGAAUUCCCAGUGUAGAGGUGAAAUUCGUAGAUAUUGGGAAGAACACCGGUGGCGAAGGCGGCUAUCUGGACCGACAUUGACGCUGAGGCGCGAAAGCGUGGGGAGCAAACAGG